CUGACCGCUACGUCAAAAUAAGCUGAUCGAUAUCGACUAUUUUCAUUGUCAAAGUGAAAAGAAUUUUGAAAAAUUGUUUUUUUUACUCAUUUCAUUACAGUUAAAGUGAACAUUAAACAUUUUUAAUGAUUUUUUUCUUGGUGUUGUUUUAAUGAUUGUAAACAUAUCCUUUCUAAUUGAAUUCUUCAAAAAGUGAACUUUAUAUAACUUUCUAAAUUCUAUAUCCAGUAAACUCAACGAAAACCAAAAUAAAAUAACAAAAGACGUCUUAGAUAUGAGUCCUUUGGAGAGUAAUACUGUGGCAGUUUUAAACCACAUUGAUGAGUAUGUCGAGCUGCUUUAUGAUGAUAUUCCAGAAAAAAUAAAGGGCUCCUCACUUAUUUUACAACUGGCAAGGAACCCAGAUAACUUGAUAGAACUAGCAAGAAAUGAAGCUUUACUAAGUGCUCUCUCAAGAGUCCUGAGAGAGGAAUGGAAGAGGAGUAUUGAGUUAAGUACAAACAUUGUCUACACCUUUUUCUGCUUCUCGACUUACUUGGAAUUUCACCCUGUUAUCAUUCAGUACAAAAUUGGUUCUCUCUGUAUGGAUGUUAUUGAUUACGAAUUGAAGAGAUAUGAUCAGUGGAAAGAAAAAGUAGAAGGAAAGAAACAAGUGCUGACACCAGAGAAGAAUGAACUUCCAAAAAGUCGUAUACCAGAACCAAAACGUCGUCCUAAAUCAGGCACUUGGGCUGUGGCUGAUGUUAGUCUACAAAAAACCCGUUCUAUAGUGUCCAGUUACCAUGAGGAUUUAUGUAAUGCAUCAGAUGAAAUCCUAUCAAAAAAUGAUGAGGAACAAUUGAGGAGAAAAUUAAAAACACUUUCUAAAAGACAAGAGCAGCUUUUGAGGGUAGCAUUUUAUAUGCUUUUAAAUAUAGCAGAUAACGUAAAAGUGGAAGAAAAAAUGCAUAAAAAGGACAUUGUAGGCUUACUCAUUGGUGCCAUGGAAAGACACUCAAACAUAGACCUUCUGAUUCUCAUUGUUUCAUUCUUGCAAAAAUUGUCAAUUUUUAUUGAGAAUAAAAAUGCUAUGGCUUCUAAAGGAAUCAUUGAGAAACUAGCACCUCUGCUAGAUUCACCCAAUGCUGAUUUGGUAAAUGUUACCCUAAAACUUCUUUUCAACUUGACAUUUGACACUAAACUACGCAAUAAAAUGGUGAAAAUGAGCCUGUUGCCAAAGUUUAUUCAGUUUACAAGCGAUGAUAAGCACAUUAAUUUGGCAAUGAAAAUUCUUUAUCAUCUUAGUAUGGAUGACAGAGUGAAGGUGCUGUUUACACAGUCUGAUUGUGUUAAAUUGUUGACAGAUAUGCUGUUGCUGAAUGUGAACAGCGAUUCUAGUUGUGACAGCGGUCCUGGUACUACAGAUGUGUUGCUGGCUUUAUGUGUGAACUUAGCGUGGUGUGAGCGGGCCGCCCAGCAGAUGACCUCCGAGGGGCGCCUGCGUGAACUCCUCGCUAGGGCUUUCAGACACAGGAAUGCUAUGCUCAUGAAGCUAGUGCGGAAUCUAUCACACCACCCUGUGAAUAAACCGCUUUAUGUGGAGUUCGUUGGCGACAUAGCCGGCGCUGUGACCAGCGACGACGCAUCCGAUGAAUUCCUCAUAGAGUGCCUGGGUACACUGAGCAACAUUCUGCAGUCCAACAACAAUAUUGAUAUAUAUGCAGUCGUUGAAAGAUACAACCUCAUACCUUGCAUACUUAAAAUAUUGGAUCCAGCGGCUCAGCGAGAUCCUGAGUUGGUGUUAGAGUGCGUGGUGGCGGCGGGCACGCUGGGUGUGGAGGAGCGAGCAGCUGCGGUGCUAGCGGCGGACGGUGGGGACGCGCUCGUCGCCGCGCUCCGACAGCGGCAGGCUGACGACGAACAUGUACUGCAGACGGUGUUUGCCUUCAGACAGAUGCUCUCACAUCCAAAGGCUGCUGAGCAUCUCGUCUCCAAGACCGAGGCACCAGCUUAUCUCAUCGAUCUCAUGCAGGACAAAAAUGUUGAGAUCAGAAAAAUGUGCGAUUCGUGUCUCGAUAUCAUAUCACAAAUGCCCAAUGACUGGGCGGCCAGGAUUAAGGUGGAACGAUUCCGGUGUCACAACGGCCAGUGGCUGUCAGUGGUGGAGACGCUGGGUGCUGAGGGCGGGGCCGGAGACGCAGCGGACGACCUGCCGCCAUACCUCUCCGCUGAAUACCUCACCACACACCGACUUACAACCUCCGAUUCGCAAAUUUCUCUCAACGACGACUCGGAUAGCUUUACUGGUGAAGCCGACUCGAAUCGCGCCCAUAGCAGAUUACGACUGUUAUCCAAGAUGACGAAAAGACGUGUCAAGAGAAAAAAAAUAUAUACACAGAUAUAAUGCUAUUCUGUUGUUUUAUAUGAAAUAUUACGAAGAUUAUCUUAUUAUAUACUGUGAUUAUAAAAAUAAUUGUUUUAAUGUAUAAUUUAGUUUUCAUUACAUUUAAAACGAUGGACUUGGCACGGUGCCAGUGAGCUAGUAUUUUAAUACUAUAAUUAUAUAUUAUUAUUAAUCAAUUUGACGGCGCGGCGUCUGUCUUGCGAGAGAAAUGGAAUACACAGAACGGACAUGCCGAUGAAUUGUUGGGAUUAUCAGAUUCGUUAUCAGGAAAGACAUUGGAGGAUGAUGCACAGUUCACAAAGAGUUUAGAUUCUUUCACUUAAUUAAAUAUUAAUUUAUGCAGAUUGCUUUCGCUUAACUUAUAAUCAAGUAUAUGUAGGUCGGCUUAUUCUUAUAUCUGUACCUUAGUAUUGCUUCACAUAAAAACACUAAUUUUUUUUAACGAUAUUAGAAGAUGAAAAUCGUUAUUUUACUUUACAUAUUAAUUAUGCAUUUCCUAUCUAUCUAUCUUCUAUAUAAAAAGAAAAAAGUUGGUAACAUUUGAAUUUAGAACGUUUAUGGAAAAUAUCUACCUACUUAUUAUACACAGAGAAUGUCAUGUUCCUCACUUGUCAAUGACAAUACAUUAAUAUUAAAUUAAAAAGAUCAAGGUCCAUAGAUCAGAUCCAGGUUCAAAAUCAGAUUGCUUUAACUACAAAAAGAUUGAUUAUUUAAUGCAAAUGCAGACACUUGCAAGCUUUGGGCGAUAGUGAUACUAUGUCAUGCAUACCUAGCGGUAGUAUCAUAAAGUAUUAUUAUAUUAAUAUAUUUGUGAUAAUAUUAGUUAUAAGAAUUAAAUAAAUAUAUAUAACACUA